UGUUGUACAGAAAGGAAAUUGGAACAACGACCCAGAAGGUUGCUAUCGUUGAAGGAUUGUACAAUCUCUUCAGAGAGCUGUUGCCAAGCCUCCACAAAAGAAGAGGUGACAAAAUCAUUGAAGACUCUGAGGUUUUUGAGAAUGCACCAGUGUGCUGGGCCUACCUGUUAUCUGAAGCAAAGAAAGAGAGUUCACAACAUGAGGUCUAUGUACCGAUAGACUUGAACUCUCAACCUGGAGAACGUUUCUGCGACCCAGUUCGAGUACCUGGGUUACCAGAUGUCUUUGAGAGAGAGUAUGUUCUGCAGAAAA